GAUGAACGCUGGCGGCGUGCUUAACACAUGCAAGUCGAACGAUGAAGCCCAGCUUGCUGGGUGGAUUAGUGGCGAACGGGUGAGUAACACGUGAGUAACCUGCCCUUAACUCUGGGAUAAGCCUGGGAAACUGGGUCUAAUACCGGAUAGGAGCGCCUACCGCAUGGUGGGUGUUGGAAAGAUUUAUCGGUUUUGGAUGGACUCGCGGCCUAUCAGCUUGUUGGUGAGGUAAUGGCUCACCAAGGCGACGACGGGUAGCCGGCCUGAGAGGGUGACCGGCCACACUGGGACUGAGACACGGCCCAGACUCCUACGGGAGGCAGCAGUGGGGAAUAUUGCACAAUGGGCGAAAGCCUGAUGCAGCGAUGCCGCGUGAGGGAUGACGGCCUUCGGGUUGUAAACCUCUUUCAGUAGGGAAGAAGCGAAAGUGACGGUACCUGCAGAAGAAGCACCGGCUAACUACGUG
rnacentral:rRNA from 1 species